UUUAUACGCCCGUCUAUGACGGGACGUAUUAUGGUAUACCCCGCGUCCGUCUGUCCGUCCGUCCGUCUGUCCGUCCGUAUGUCUGUUAAUGUCGUACGCUACGUCAAAUAUCCUUUGACAGAUUUUCUUCAAAUUUUAACACAAUCUUAAUAUUGAUAAACCCUGAUCCCCUUUCGUUUUUGACGGAAUUCUGAAUUGUCGUUCCAGAGUUAUGGGACUUUGUUCGUCAAAAUUUCGUGAUUUCAUUGAAUGUCCUACUGUAGCUAUAUAAAAAUGUUAAAGUUGUUAUAACUUUGGUAUGCUUGGACCUAGAGUCUUGAAACUUGACAUGAAGGUUGGCCAGAACUAGUAAGUAACCACUGGACAUUUCAAGGUCAUUCAUUUGAAGGUCAAGGUCACUGUGACCUUGAAUGUAAAAAUGUUAAAGUUCUUAUUUCAUGUUAUAACUUUGGUAUGCUUGUACCUAGAGUCUUCAAACUUGAAAUAAAGAUUGGCCAGUACUAGAAGAUGACCACUGGUCAUUUCAAUGUCAUUCAUUUGAAGGUCAAGGUCACUGUGACCUUAAAUGUUAAAAUGUUAAAAUUGUUAUAACUUUGGUAUGCUUGGACAUAGAGUCUUCAAACUUGACAUGAAGGUUUGCAAGCACACUUAGAUGACCACUGGUCAUUUCAAGGUCAUUCAUUCUAAGGUCAAGGUCACACAAGGUCACUGUGACCUUAAAUGUUAAAAUGUUAAAAUUGUUAUAACUUUGGUAUGCUUGGACAUAGAGUCUUCAAACUUGACAUGAAGGUUUGCAAGCACACUUAGAUGACCACUGGUCAUUUCAAGGUCAUUCAUUCUAAGGUCAAGGUCACUGUGACCUUAAAUGUUAUUGUUGUUCAUGUAUCCUACCGUAGCUCAAAUAUCCCCCGAUGGAUUUUUUAUACGCCCGUCUAUGACGGGACGUAUUAUGGUAUACCCCGCGUCCGUCUGUCCGUCCGUCCGUCCGUCCGUCCGUCCGUCCGUCUGUUAAUGUCGUACGCUACGUCAAAUAUCCUUUGACAGAUUUUCUUCAAAUUUUAACACAAUCUUAAUAUUGAUAAACCCUGAUCCCCUUUCGUUUUUGACGGAAUUCUGAAUUGUCGUUCCAGAGUUAUGGGACUUUGUUCGUCAAAAUUUCGUGAUUUCAUUGAAU